AACAAGAGAACCGUGAACUGAAAGAGGAAGUAGCUAGGCUGACUGCCAUGAUGGAGUCAGUGCUGGCUGCUUAGAGCCAAUCUUCUCCAACACCUACAACUCCUCCCGCAAGGACGGUCAUCUCAGAGGUAGCUUCCUCUACUGUGCUUGCCGCCACUGCUCAUUUUGCGCCGCCUAUGUCAGCCGGGUUCCCUGGGGGAAUGCCCACAAAUUUUGUGCCUGAGGGUAUUGCUCCGACCAUUGCUUCUCUGCC
rnacentral:lncRNA from 1 species